rfam:Triticum aestivum genome assembly, contig: Triticum_aestivum_CS42_TGACv1_scaffold_148957_2BS
ACUCCCUCUGUCCCAAAUUUCUUGUCUUAGAUUUGUCUAGAUACGGAUGUAUCUAAUACUAAAAUGUGACUUGAUACAUCCGUAUCUAGACAAAUCUAAGACAAGAAUUUUGGGACGGAGGGAGUACUUU